rnacentral:lncRNA from 1 species
GGAUCAGAGGGAGACGGAUGCAGCAUUUCAGGAGAUCUACUUUGUGUUUAAAUCACAGCUCUGUCGUUAACCAGCUAUAGGAUUUGGAGGAAGGAACUGUGACUUGAUUCUAACCCAUAGAAUACGGCAAAGGCAACGUCAUGUCGCUCUCCUGGAUUACACUGCAUUAGAUAAGACUCUAUCAUAGCAGUCUGGAGCUGAAGACUCUCUUUGUGGGCUGGAUGAAGCCAGCAGCCGCGUUGGAGGAGCCCAGGUGACAAGGUGACCUCUAGAACUGGGAACCCACCUCCUAACAACAGCAAGAAGCUGGGACCCUCAGUAAUAUAACCCCAAGGAAAUGAUUUCUACCAACUUGAAUGACCUGGGUAGCAGAUUCUUCCCCAGCUGAGCCUCCAAAUGAGAAUGUGUCCCAGCCAACAGCUUGAUUAUAGGAGUGUGAGAGCCGAGCAGAGGACCCAGCCAAGCUGUGCCUGAACUCCUGCCCAACAGAAACUGUGAGAUAAUAAAUAUGUGUUGUUUUAAG